rnacentral:snRNA from 1 species
ACCCCCUCGGGGGUAUCCGAUAAAAUUGGAACGAUACAGAGAAGAUUAGCAUGGCCCCUGCGCAAGAUGACACGCACAA